rfam:Myotis davidii contig44757, whole genome shotgun sequence.
GGCCUCCCUCUGUGGGGUGAUCGAUCACGGGGCUCCCAUAUCGAUCGCCCUGUAGAGGGAGGCC